GACGAACGCUGGCGGCGUGCUUAACACAUGCAAGUCGAACGGACAGACCCUGCUUUUGUGGGGUGCUCGAGUGCCGAGCGGGUGAGUAACACGUGAGUAACCUGCACUUAACUGUGGGAUAACUUCAGGAAACUGGGGCUCAUACCGGAUAGGAGCUACUGCUGCGUGGGGGGGGUUGGAAAGUUUCGGCGGUUGGGGAUGGACUCGCGGGUUAUCCGCUUGUUGGUGGGGUAGGUGCUGACCAAGGCUUUGACGGGUAGCCGGCCUGAGAGGGUGACCGGCCACAUUGGGACUGAGAUACGGCGCAGACUCCUACGGGAGGCAGCAGUGGGGAAUAUUGCACAAUGGGCGGAAGCCUGAGGCAGCAACGCCGCGUGCGGGAUGACGGCCUUCGGGUUGUAAACCGCUUUCGCCUGUGACGAAGCGUGAGUGACGGUAAUGGGUAAAGAAGCACCGGCUAACUACGUG
rnacentral:rRNA from 1 species